AGCGAACGCUGGCGGCAGGCCUAAUACAUGCAAGUCGAACGGCUCUUCGGAGCAGUGGCGGACGGGUGAGUAACGCGUGGGAAUGUGCCCUUUGGUACGGAACAACACAGGGAAACUUGUGCUAAUACCGUAUGUGCCCUUCGGGGAAAGAUUUAUCGCCAUUGGAGCAGCCCGCGUUGGAUUAGGUAGUUGGUGAGGUAAAGGCUCACCAAGCCUACGAUCCAUAGCUGGUCUGAGAGGAUGACCAGCCACACUGGGACUGAGACACGGCCCAGACUCCUACGGGAGGCAGCAGUAGGGAAUCUUGCGCAAUGGGUGAAAGCCUAACGCAGCCAUGCCGCGUGUAUGAUGAAGGUCUUAGGAUUGUAAAAUACUUUCACCGGGGAAGAUAAUGACGGUACCCGGAGAAGAAGCCCCGGCUAACUUCGUGCCAGCAGCCGCGGUAAU
rnacentral:rRNA from 1 species